rnacentral:rRNA from 1 species
CCUACGGGUGGCAGCAGUGGGGAAUAUUGCACAAUGGGGGAAACCCUGAUGCAGCGACGCCGCGUGAAGGAAGAAGUAUUUCGGUAUGUAAACUUCUAUCAGCAGGGAAGAAAAUGACGGUACCUGACUAAGAAGCCCCGGCUAACUACGUGCCAGCAGCCGCGGUAAUACGGAGGGGGCAAGCGUUAUCCGGAUUUACUGGGUGUAAAGGGAGCGUAGGCGGUUUAGCAAGUCAGAAGUGAAAGCCCGGGGCUCAACUCCGGGACUGCUUUUGAAACUGUUGAACUAGAGUGCAGGAGAGGUAAGUGGAAUUCCUGGUGUAGCGGUGAAAUGCGUAGAUAUUAGGAGGAACACCAGUGGCGAAGGCGGCUUACUGGACUGUAAAUGACGCUGAGGCUCGAAAGCGUGGGGAGCAAACAGGAUUAGAUACCCUAGUAGUC